rnacentral:rRNA from 1 species
GACGAACCGUGCGAACGUUGUUCGGAAUCACUGGGCUUAAAGGGUGCGUAGGCGGGCUCGAAAGUCAGGGGUGAAAUCCCACGGCUCAACCGUGGAAGGGCCUUUGAUACUGCGAGUCUAGAGGGAGGUAGGGGCGUGCGGAACUUCCGGUGGAGCGGUGAAAUGCGUAGAUAUCGGAAGGAACACCGGUGGCGAAAGCGGCGCGCUGGACCUCAACUGACGCUGAGGCACGAAAGCCAGGGGAGCAAACGGG